rnacentral:tRNA from 1 species
GUGGGUACAGCUCAGUGGUAGAGUGCAUGUUUAGCAUGCACGAGGUCCUGGGUUCAAUCCCCAGUACCUCUG